CACCUAAAGGCUAAAUUUAGAAGAAAAGAGGGAAACUGAGUCCGGAGAGUAGAAAGCUAAAGACAUCUCUAACUUUGGGGGUCACUGGAGCCGCAGCAGUCAGGCAGGCGCACUUCUAACACGGCCAAGGGGACCAGCGUCCGCAAUUUUCCGCACCCGGGAGGGAAACCCGGGACGAAGCCAAGGAGAGGGGACGCUGGCAGGGGCAUGCGUGGACGCGGGCGGGCGGAAGCGCAGCCUUGGCCGCGGCGCACGGUCCUGGCCCCCGGCGCCUUUGUCUCCGCUGCAAGACCGGGCACUUCCUCUGUCCCGCCCACGGGAGCGCACGUAGGAGCCGAGUUUUCCCCAAAACCAUUUGUCAAAGAGCAUAGACAUCUUUUGGCCACAAUUUGGAGCAGAAGGGACAGAUGAUGGGAAGACUAUGUUGCUGUUGGAAGUGAGAGAAAAAGAAUGAUGAAAUGAAAAUUAGAAGAAUGCCCAAGUUCAAGCUCCAGAUAUCUAGAACUGUAAGUAGAGACAAUGUUGAGGAAAACAUUGACCAUAAGAGUAAGCUUCGAGUUCAUCU